rnacentral:rRNA from 1 species
CAGCCGCCGCGGGAAUACGAAGGGUGCAAGCGUUAAUCGGAGUUACUGGGCGUAAAGCGUGCGUAGGCGGUUUGUUAAGUCUGCUGUGAAAUCCCCGGGCUCAACCUGGGAAUGGCAGUGGAUACUGGCAAGCUAGAGUGUGUCAGAGGAUGGUGGAAUUCCCGGUGUAGCGGUGAAAUGCGUAGAGAUCGGGAGGAACAUCAGUGGCGAAGGCGGCCAUCUGGGACAACACUGACGCUGAGGCACGAAAGCGUGGGGAGCAAACAGGAUUAGAUACCCCUGUAGUCCCUGUCUCUUAUAC